rnacentral:sRNA from 1 species
UCGUGGACCUCUUCGGGGCCGAUGAGGUGCACGUGGGUGUCCACGCCGCCCGCGGUGAGGAUCCGGCCGUUGCCGGAAAUGACCUCGGUACUCGGGCCGACCACGAAGUUUUCCGGAUCCCACGGCGGCUUGACGUCACGCGGCACCACAUCGCGAGGGGGCAUCUGGAAGUUCGUGAUCUUGUCCAUUGUUUCGGGGUUGUACGCCUUGCCGAUGGCGAAGACCUUGCCGUCCCUGAUGCCGACGUCGGCCUUGACCACACCCCACCAGUCGAGGAUCAGCGCCCCCGUGAUGACCGUGUCCACCGGUUUGGGACCCUUGCCGUUGACUCCGUCCCUCGGGAUGUGGGACAUGCCCAUCGACUCCCGG